rfam:Campylobacter concisus strain ATCC 33237, complete genome.
GUAUGGAUGCCUUGUGAUGUGGCUUCGUUUGAGUCUGAAAAGGCGAGAAGUUGCAACCGUUUGGUAUCCAUCUAUUUGCAAGAUUGGCUUUGUUUAUGGGCCACUCUUCUAUGCGACGCCCACUCGGGU